rnacentral:tRNA from 1 species
AGCUUUAUAUUCAAGAAUGAUUUUAAAUUGCAAAUUUAAAGGUGAAGUUAAUUCUAAGGCUU